AGCUUUGCGCAGUGGCAGUAUCGUAGCCAAUGAGGUUUAUCCGAGGCACGAUUAUUGCUAAUAAAUUGAAUUUAAAUUAAAAAAAGAAAAACACUUGGAGAUCCCAGACAGAA
rnacentral:snRNA from 1 species